rnacentral:snRNA from 10 species
AUACUUACCUGACGAGGACCAUACUGGGAUCAGGCAGCCAGUGGGUCCAGGGCGAGGCUUUGCCAUGACACAU